ensembl:lncRNA
UAAAAACUAUAAAAACGAUAAAAACGACAUAAACGGUAAUAAUCAUAAAGAUAUAAAACUACUUGAAGUCAAAUUAAACGGAUAUAAGGUAUAUGCAUGCAUUUCUCAUUUUUAUUUCAAAGGGUUAGUGGAAGCACUAAUAUUAAACCUACCUAUAUAUUACCUUUUUAAAAAUAGAGCCUAUAUAAAAAUAUCAUUCAGUUUUUUAUUAUAUAUAAUAAAUUAUAUAGUAUGGAAUGUUAUAUAUGUUGUAUCCUUGAUUGAACCAUCUUUAUUUGCUUAUUAUUAUAUUAUUAAUGAACAUAUAACAAAUAUUUUAGAAAAUAAUUUUACCGAUCAUGAAAAAAAAAAUUUUUUUACAUUUUGUUUAUGGCUUUUUUAUAGCUUCUUUAUUAUAUUUCAAUCACUAUUUUAAUAUUGAAUUUAAAUUAAUAAAAAUUGAUCAGAUGAAUAAUAUAGAAAAUAUUGUUAACGAAUGUUUAAGUAAAGCAUAUAAAUUAAAAAAUGAAAAAGUUAUAAAAGAUUAUGAAGAAUUAGAAAUAUUCCCCUUAUGUCUUGAUUAUCAAAGAAAAGGUAUUUUCAUUAACUCCAAUUUAUUACGAACUGAAAAAGAAUUGGAAAAAAUAAAGAAACAAAAAAAAAUAAAAAAUACUAAUAUGGGCCUAAAAAAUAUUAAACAAAUAGCUAAAUAUUGUGAUAAAGAUACUGCUAAUGAAUUAUUCAAUAAAAUUAAAUCAGUUUUGAUAAAUGACUUACCACAAAAAAUAGUGCAUAACAUGUCUUACAAAAUAACGGAAGAGUUGUAUGAUAAUAUUAAAAAAAAUAAAAUGAAAUAUUUACCUCCUUAUAAAUAUUUACCGAACGAAUCAUUGAAAACUCAAACUCCACGGUUAGUUAACUGUGUUGGAACUAGUCCAACGAAUGAUUUUACAACCACACCGUUCACUAAUGGCGUACCAACAAACAUACCAUAUUAUACACCGUAUAACAUGCCCAUUGGAAUACCAACAAGUAUGCCAACUAACAUACUAACCAGCAUACCGAGUAACAUACCAACCAGCAUGCCAACUAACAUACCAACCAACAU